CCUACGGGAGGCAGCAGUGGGGAAUUUUGGACAAUGGGCGCAAGCCUGAUCCAGCAAUGCCGCGUGCAGGAUGAAGGCCUUCGGGUUGUAAACUGCUUUUGUACGGAGCGAAACGGUCUGCUUUAAUACAGUAGGCUAAUGACGGUACCGUAAGAAUAAGCACCGGCUAACUACGUGCCAGCAGCCGCGGUAAUACGUAGGGUGCGAGCGUUAAUCGGAAUUACUGGGCGUAAAGCGUGCGCAGGCGGUUAUAUAAGACAGAUGUGAAAUCCCCGGGCUCAACCUGGGACCUGCAUUUGUGACUGUAUAGCUAGAGUACGGUAGAGGGGGAUGGAAUUCCGCGUGUAGCAGUGAAAUGCGUAGAUAUGNGAGACGACG
rnacentral:rRNA from 1 species